AUUAUAAAUAAUCUUUCAUAUGAUUAAAACAUAUCAAAAGUCUAGCAUCAACUCAACUUUAUAAACAUUAAACCAAUUGGUUUAUUGUUUUCGUCAUUGUUAUACAAGUUUCGUCAUACUUAGGGACAGAGAUCUACAGCUGUGGGGCCACCAUCAAGAAGGCCCUGUUUCUUGUCCCCGCCAAUCAUGCCUGUGAUAGGGGUGGGACUGAGAACAGGGCCUCCCCAGAAAAUCUUAACAAUAGUGCCAGAUCAUAAAAGGAGAUACGUUCGGACAUGCAAGCUGGACCGGAACUGUUUAGGGAUUUAUAGGCUAAGGCCAGCACUUUGAAUUGUGCUUGGAGGCAAACUGGCAGUCAGUGGAGUUGAUGUAACUGGGGCGCAUGCCGCUCUGGUUAACAGUCUUUGCUGCUGCCUGGUGGACUACUUGAACCUUCCAAACAGUCUUUGAAGGCAACCACACGUAGAGCGCAUUGCAGUAGUCUAUGUAAGAUGUAACCUGAACGUGGACCACUGUGGCCAAGUCUCACUUCCCAAGAAUCAAAGAAUCAGAAGAGACCUCAUGGGCCAACCCCUGUCAAGAAGCAGGAAAUCGCAUUCAAAUCAUCCUCGACAGAUGGCCAUUCAGCUCUGCUUAAAAGCCUCCAAACAAGGAGCCUCCACCAUACUCCAGGGCAGAGAGGUCCACUGCUGAACAGCUCUCACAGUUAGGAAGUUCUUCCUAAUGUUCAGGUGGAAUCUCCGUUCCUGUAGUUUGAAGCUGUUGUUCCGCGUCCUAGUCUCCACGGCAGCGGAAAACAAGCUUGCUCCCUCCUCCCCAUGACUUCCCCUCACAUAUUUAUAUAUGGCCCUCAUCGUGUCUCCCCCCAGCCUUCUCUUCUGCAGGCUAAACAUGUUCAGCUCUUUAAGCCACUCCUCAUAGGGCUUGUUCUUCAGACCCCUGAUCAUUUUAAUUACCCUCCUCUGGACACACUCCAGCUUGUCAACAUCUCUCUUCAACUGUCGUGCCCAGAAUUGGACACAGUAUUCCAGGUGUGGUCUGACCAAGGCAGAAUAGAGGGGUAGCAUGACUUCCCUGGAUCACAUGUUGGCUCAUAUUUGACUUGUCCACAAGGAUUCCAUCUUGACUAACAGCAAAAUAUAUAUAUAAAUAAAAUGUAGCCUUGUGACUCUAAAAUGUACAAUUUUUAACAGCUUUGUCUGAUGAAGAAAUGAGUGGAAUUAAAAAAAAAGUCCUUCAACAAAAACAAAAACAGCAAUAUUGCAUUAUUCAGCUGAUUCUUUAUCCAAAGUCUAGUGUUAGAUUUUUUUGUCCCUCAAAGUUAGAUGUUUACAAAAUUUAGCUCAAUGGUGGUAAGGGCAGUUUUGAUGGGGACUUUCUUUUCUUACAGAUGCUCCUUGUUUUUUACAGGAUUUUACUGAGAUCCAUAUAGGAAUAUAGAAGUUAAAGGGAGAACGGGGCUAAGCAGAUGAAAUUACAGGGGAGAGUAAAAAGACACAAUAAAUCAGUUUAAACCAAGGCCAUAUAAAGCUUAUUAUCGGCACCAAAUUGCCCAUCCUUUUAAAAGCUGUAUCAAAAAGUUUGUGCUGUUGCUGUUUAUUUGAAAUAAGUAAACAGUUUAUAAAAUAUGUGUACAAAUUAUUUUCAAAAAAGGAGACCUGAAACCUGGGGUAUGAGACAGCAAGACUUUUAGCUCUACAUUUAAUUUACUGAUAAGUGCCAUCCAAUUAUGAAAUAGUCUGAAAUUAUGCAUAAACAUGGUCCUAAUUACCAUGUUUAUGCGCAAAAUAAUCCCAUGUAAAAGGCAUUUUGUUGUAUCCCUCCCAGGCACCUUAACUGCAUGAUUCCUGAAACCAAACAGUGGCUUUUUGAAGAUAACAUGAAAACAAAUGAAAUAUUGUUCUCUAAUAAGGAUGUAAUAAAUAUUAAUGGAAACAAGUGUUGUUGCUUUCUGUAAUAAUAAAAGUGCAUAUAAUUACAGAACUGAAACCAGUUUACAGAAUUCCAAAUCAAAAUGUGUGUCUAUGUCGCAAUCUCUCUUCCUUCUAAAGCCUAUUAAAAUGUGAGCCAUAAUGCUGUCAUUCACAUCUCGCUGCCCUUAUGUCCUGUUAUUAUCCAGUGGGGAUGAGGAGAUAGAAGACUUUUUCUUGCAGUGACAAUAAAAUGUUAACAGUG